GCCACAUCCUCCCUAGUACUUCAUCCACGCAAUUUCAGAUUCAUUGAUGCAUUCAGAGUCUUUCUACACUAUGUCCUUCCAAACCUCAUGCUCCUAGGGGUGAUUGAUAUUUAUGUUUUGAACACUAUGAAGGGUAUUAAGCCUAAAGCUUUCUUUUGUUCCUUCAGGCUCAUACAACUCAUACAGAACUCCUUGACUUGAAACCACUUCGCGUGACUGCUCUUGCAAAUGGAACUUAUGAAGCGUUGUACAGAUUCACACAUUUUAACCCAAUACUGACGGAGGCUUUUCAUGUGCUGUAUCACAUAGACCAAAAUGUUCUUCUCAGAGCUCCAACCGGAAGUGGUAAAUCUAUAUCAGCCCAGCUUGCCAUGCUCCAUCUAUUUAAUAUGCAGUCUGAUUUGAAGGUUGUUUUCUCACCCAUUAGGCCCUGGAAUCUUUUGAUGUUUCCCCAAGGAUCAGUGAUUGAAGUUUUGAAAGACAAUCUGAUGUUUGAUACCCCUCUCAUUUUCAUUGAAGCCAUUUUUGGAUGAUGCAAAAAUAGGGAAGAAAUUGUAGAAAGAAACAUGGAAGGGUAGAAUAAGAGCAAAAUGGGGAGAAAAGAAGAAAAAAAAGACGAAGCAGAAUCAAAUAGAGUUCCAACUUCCAAGAAUAAGCUGUUGGAGGAUGAGACGGGGAUCUUCGUGAUGGAGUAAUGGGAGGAAUGACGACGAUUUGGUGAGGCUUCAACAUGAAGCACUUCUGCAAGAGAAAUCAAGACCGGAAAAAGAGAAUGCAAACUUGACUAGGGAAAACAGUACCUGCGUCAACUAGUGGAGUACCCUCGCUCAACAGAUACGAAAUCGCAUGAAGUAAGACUGCUAAAUCUUCUUUCAGGGUAUGUUGUCUCGUGAAGCUGCUUCUGUCCUAGUUUUCUCUGGACGCAUUGAGUCUUUCAGUACAUCAUAUGCUAGAGUACAAUGCUCUAUUUACACCUAUAUUGAAUAUUAACUAUUGAUAUUGAUAUUGAUAUUGAUAUUGAUCUUGUGACUAUUGCAGGCUCAUGGGCAAGUCCCAUGUAGUGCCUGAACUUUCUAGUCUUGGUGAACAGAUGGUUCAUAGUUCUGAGGGUAAAAGAGCUUUAGCUCUGGAACUUUUCCCUGAACUUGACGACAAGUUCCUCCAGCAUGGUCUGAACUCAGGGAAAUGACAAUAUGCACAUUAUGUAUACACAUGAACACAUGUAUAUAUAUAUAUAUAUAUAUAGAUAGAUAGAUAGAUAGAUAGAUAGAUAGAUAGAUAGAUAGAUAGAUAGAUAUUUAUAUAAUGUACAUCUCUGAGGUGGAGCGAUGUCCUAUGGAACACUUAAUUAUUCGAACUUCUGGCCUAUCACACUUCAUCUUGAUUGUCAUUAAUUUUAUUUGAGCUCUAUGUUGCUUUGAGUCUAUUGGGCUUGUAGAUGUAUUUGAUUAAACUAUUUACUCUUUACCUUUUGUAGGUACAUUGGGUUCUUGUUGAUACUGUCUCCACUUCUGCAAAUGCCACACCAGGCUUUGGAAGAUAUCAUCCUUAUAAAAGCAAGGUUAUAGCAAUUACCACAACUGUUUUGGAAGGAUUCAAGAAUGAAGCUAAAAAAUAUGCUAGUUGCAUUUGAUGACAUGGAAUGUGCAUAUGUUUCACCUCAACAUUUCAUAUGUAUAGAGCAGAGGGGGGAGUACUGCAACUGAUUUAGUUCUAUAUUCCCCACAUUUUAAUCUAUGCUCUUUUACAUCUAUUGUCUUUGAUUUUUUGCAGGAUUGAUAGACAACAACGUGAAGUGGUGAAGACAUUUUAAUCACAAGUCAUGAGCAGCUUUUGACAAGUCAACUUCCCAUUGAGAGCAGGUUUUAUACAACAACUAAUAUUGAAAACCAAGUGGUUGUCGAUAAGAGGCUUUAUACUAUAUGGCUUCAGAGACUAUGCAAUGGAGCCUAGAUAGACAACUAAAGAAAUGGUCCUGAAGGUAUAUCUCUUUCCAAUGCAAAUUGUUUACUAAAGAAGUUGUGUAUUUUGUGUAUAUGUGUAUUUUAUGUACGUGCGUAUGCAAUGCGUGUAUUUUGUAUAGAA